CACACAUUGGAAGCUGGGUGGACAGAGCUGUAGUGUUCAGGCAGAGCUGACCCAAGCCAUUCUCCCUGGGCAAUGCAGAUGCACGCAAAGAGACUCAGUGGGCCACAGGUCAAUCCACCCUGCCCCAAGCAUCAGUGGAGGGAGAACACAGAGCUUCAUGAAACUUGGCAGCAUACUAUACUGGGGUGCCUGAGCAUGGGCAGCUAGAUUUGUGAAGCACUGUGACACCCUCUACCCCCGCUGCAACCCUCAUUGAACACUUGUGUUACUACUUGGCCUGACGCCUGCACCGCUGCAAGGGGGCAGAUGCUCCCUGUGCUCUCUCCUCAAAUCCAGGGCCUCCUCCCACAAAAAGCAUGUGACAUCCUUUAACAUUAUUCUGCAGAAUCCUCAUCAAUGACUUUCAGCAUAAGACAAAUACAACAGCUCAUUUUCCUGUACACUUCCUUAUCUGAACAGGCAUGUUGGUUACCUAGAAACAAGAGUAAACACAAGUGUCUCAGCAACAGUGAUCCAAGAGACUCAGGGAACUUGUGACUCCUGUGUCUUCUGCAAGUCCAACAGCCUUUUCUGAUUUUAUUUUCAUUUCAAAAUACUGUGUCUGCUCCAAGAAAUGUGCAGAAUUGUAGAGAGUUUACCAGCAGGUAUUCCUGGGUAGUUUGUCAUUUUUCUGAGCUGCCCAGUGAACUUGCAGAUGGACUGAGGAUGGUAUGGGGAAUUUGUGUUUGGGAGAGUUUAGCUGUUUCCUUGACAACAGCAUUUGGGGCUCCCAUGCACAGUGGGACUGAGACAAUGGGAACGACUUAAAGAGUUAAAAGAAGAACGAAGAAAAUGUCAGCUUCAAGGUAAAGUAUGAUAUCUACACAGAGAAUGUAUUCUCAAUGUUGGACUCACUGGCCUUCCAAAGGCUUACAGUAGCUAACAUCAAAUAAGACAAUUACAGUGUUUUUCAGUGUCCAUCUGGUAGAAAGUUGUUUGGUUAUCUUGGUGUAAUGUCUAUAACAAAGUCAAAGUAUGCAAUUCUAAUAUCCUGCUAAUAUUUUUUCACAUUAUUUUCCCUUCAUUAUAAGAGAAUUUAUCUUCUCUGUGUUAUGGUUAUAUGUAUGAAGUACUAUUACAGUUAUUUCUUGCAGAAAUCGUUAGUGAAAAAUUGUUUCUCAUCAUACAGUCAUAGCAUUUCUGUUAAGUCACAUGCACAGUAAAUAAGGUGACAGUGCAAACAAUUAACUGCAAACAAGCAAAUGUGGUGUAUAGCUAUCUGCUACAAUAUGAUUUAAUAUCUAGUAACAUUAGAAAAAGGGUUUUUAUUCAAAAUAACUCUUGGGAAUCCAUCUGUUCCUUCACUAUGAUGACAGGGCUGCACUGUGUGCAACCUCAUUGACUGUGAUAAAAUUGCAUCUGGAUUUACUGAGAGCAGAAUUUGUCCUGUGUGUGUGUGCCCGCACGUCUUUUAAUUAUUACUAGGCAUCUUCACCAGUUGGGUUACUCUUUUUUCUUUUCCCUAUGACCUGUGUGGUUCAUGUCAGCCAAUGGUUUUCUGCUUUUACAUUAUUUAAUAAACCCUUUUCAUUUGUAUUCUUGAAAAAUGACUACAGUAGAACCUCAGAGUUGUGAACACUUCAGAAAUGGAGGUUGUUCGUAACUCUGAAAUGUUCAUAACUCUGAACAAAACAUUAUGGUUGUCCUUUCAAAAGUUUACAACUGAACAUUGACAAUACAACUUUAAAACUACUAUGCAAAAGAAACAUGCUGCUUUUAACCAUCAUAAUUUAAAUGAAACAAGCACAGAAAUGGUUUCCUUACCUGGUCAAAUCUUAAAAAAACAAAAACAAAAAACCCUUU